rnacentral:rRNA from 1 species
AAUGAACGCUGGCGGCAUGCCUAACACAUGCAAGUCGAACGAAGCCUUCGGGCUUAGUGGCGCACGGGUGCGUAACGCGUGGGAAUCUGCCCUUGGGUUCGGAAUAACAGCGAGAAAUUGCUGCUAAUACCGGAUGAUGACGUAAGUCCAAAGAUUUAUCGCCCAAGGAUGAGCCCGCGUAGGAUUAGCUAGUUGGUGAGGUAAAGGCUCACCAAGGCGACGAUCCAGUCUGGUCUGAGAGGAUGAUCAGCCACACUGGGACGUGAGACACGGCCCACGACUCCUACGGGAGGGCAGCAGUGGGGAAGUCUUGCGCAAUAGGGCGGAAAGACCUGACGCAGCGACGCCGCGUGAGGG